GUAGGUGGCAAGCGUUGUCCGGAAUUAUUGGGCGUAAGGCGCGCGCAGGCGGUUCUUUAAGUCUGAUGUGAAAGCCCACGGCUCAACCGUGGAGGGUCAUUGGAAACUGGAGAACUUGAGUACAGAAGAGGAAAGCGGAGUUCCACGUGUAGCGGUGAAAUGCGUAGAGAUGUGGAGGAACACCAGUGGCGAAGGCGGCUUUCUGGUCUGUAACUGACGCUGAGGCGCGAAAGCGUGGGGAGCAAACAGGAUUAGAUACCCUGGUAGUCCACGCCGUAAACGAUGAGUGCUAAGUGUUAGGGGGUUUCCGCCCCCCUUAGUGCUGCAGCUAACGCAUUAAGCACUCCGCCUGGGAGUACGGCCGCAAGGCUG
rnacentral:rRNA from 1 species